AUAUGACAUAGGUGCUGGGGCUGUAGAGUUUAUUAUAUGCCAUGCAGAGGUCUCAAUCGCAUUUGUAGAAGAAAAGAAGAUACCUGAGCUAUUGAAGACAUUUCCAAAAGCAACAGAGUGUCUCAGGACAAUUGUAAGCUUUGGAAAGGUUG